rnacentral:rRNA from 1 species
CCUACGGGUGGCAGCAGUGAGGAAUAUUGGUCAAUUGACGAGAGUCUGAACCAGCCAAGUAGCGUGAAGGAUGACUGCCCUCUGGGUUGUAAACUUCUUUUAUAUGGGAAUAAAAUGUUCCCAGUGUGGGCUUUUGUAUGUACCAUAUGAAUAAGGAUCGGCUAACUCCGUGCCAGCAGCCGCGGUAAUACGGAGGAUCCGAGCGUUAUCCGGAUUUAUUGGGUUUACAGGGAGCGUAGGUGGAUUGUUAAGUCAGUUGUGAAAGUUUGCGGCUCAACCGUAAAAUUGCAGUUGAAACUGGCAGUCUUGAGUACAGUAGAGGGGGGCGGAAUUCGUGGUGUAGCGGUGAAAGGCUUAGAUAUCACGAAGAACUCCGAUUGCGAAGGCAGCUCACUGGACUGCAACGGACACUGAGGCUCGAAAGUGUGGGUAUCAAACAGGAUGAGAUACCCGUGUAGUC